AUUGAACGCUGGCGGCAUGCCUAACACAUGCAAGUCGAACGGCAGCACGGGUGCUUGCACCUGGUGGCGAGUGGCGAACGGGUGAGUAAUAUAUCGGAACGUACCUUAUUGUGGGGGAUAACGCAGCGAAAGCUGUGCUAAUACCGCAUAAUCCCUAAGGGGGAAAGCGGGGGACCGUAAGGCCUCGCGCAAUUAGAGCGGCCGAUACCUGAUUAGCUAGUUGGUGAGGUAAAGGCUCACCAAGGCAACGAUCAGUAGCUGGUCUGAGAGGACGAUCAGCCACACGGGGACUGGGACACGGCCGAGACUCCUACGGGAGGGAGCAGUGGGGAAUUUUGGACAAUGGGGACAAGCCUGAUCCAGCAAUGCCGCGGGAGUGAAGAAGGCCUUCGGGUUGUAAAGCUCUUUUGUCAGGGAAGAAACAGCAGCUCUAACACAGUAUGCGAAUGACGGUACCUGAAGAAUAAGCACCGGCUAACUACGUGCCAGCCGCCGCCGUAA
rnacentral:rRNA from 1 species